CACUGGGAUUCAAGAUUCUCGUACCUCAGCCUCCUGAGUAGCUGGGACUACAGAAAGCAGAACCAUGAUUAAACACCCAGUGAAUAAUUUGGGAUGCUGAUGAAAUCAAGGAAGACUGGAAAAGCAACCUGCUGGGUGUGCUGUGGAGAGAUUUCCUAUACUGGGCAGAAGCAACUGAAAAUCUCUGCAACAACUUGGCAAUGGAAUGUGAAGGAGCCGAACAAGGAAGGACCAGACGACUGACUCAUGGGGUUUGGUUGAAGGAGAUGAGGGCAAGGAGAAAAGGGAUAUGAAGAGGGUUGCAGAGGCUGUGGGAGGAAGGAGAUAGAAAAGGCCUUCGGCAAAGAUACUUUUCUGCCUACAUCUAUGUUGGCCAUAUGGGGAUGCCAUAAAUACCUUGAACACUGGAGGAGCUAGGUGUGGCACCAGACAUCAAGAUGGCCCUUAAGGAUUCUAGCCUCCUGGUAUUCAUGUUCUUAUAUAGUCUCCUCCAACAUUGAAAAGGGCUGACCUGUGUAACCAAUAGGAUAUUGUGGGAAUGAUGGAGUUUGUCCUGAGGCUAGAUCAUGAAAGACAUGUGGUUCUUGGACCACUUAAUCAUGGAGAAGACGGCUGCCAUGUUGUGAAGACUCUCAAGCAGCUCUGUGGAGAGGUCCAUAGGUGAAGAACUGAGACCCCCCUCCAAGUGAGCAAUCUUGGAGGUGGAUCCUUUCCUCUCAUUCAGGCCUUCAGAUGACUACAGCCUGGGCUGGUAUCUUGACUACAACCUUAUGGGGAACCCUAAGGCAACACCAGCUAAGAUUCUCCUGAAUUCCUCACCCGAAGAAACUAUGAGAUAAUAAAUCUGUGUUGGUUUAAGCCACUGUGUAUUGAGAUAACUAAUUAUGUGGCAAUAGAAAACUAAUACGCUAAGAGAUGAAUUAAAUAGAGAAUCCACUCCAAGAUUCCACUGUCCAUUUGUUUAUCCUUUUAAAUUCUGUGUCUGCCUGACUGGCCCACAAGACUCUAGGAUUAUCAAGGAUACUACCCUACCCUUACAUAAUAAAGCGUGUAGGCUGGGUGAGGUGGCUUAUGCUGGUAAUCCUAGUGCUUUGGAAGGCUGAGGUGGGAGGAUUACUUGAGGCCACGAGAUCAAGAUCAGCCUGGGCAACAUCGUGAGGCCAGGAGAUCAAGACCAGCCUGGGUGACGGAGUCAGACUCUGUCUCUGGAAGUAAGCAAACAGAUAGUUAAAUAAAUAAAUAAAAUAAAGGGUGUGGUGUUUUGGUUACAAUUUUAAGUGCCGAAAGGAGAAAUAUAAGAUACAAUGAAAUGAUAUAACUCAUUAACACUGUUAUUAUUUACAUGUAAAAGUAACUAAAUACAGUUGUGAGAUACUGAAUAAUAUGAGUAAAAUUAUAUGGUGUGCACCUGUCA